rnacentral:rRNA from 1 species
CUUUUGACCUCGGAUCAGGUAGGGAUACCCGCUGAACUUAAGCAUAUCAAUAAGCGGAG